ensembl:snoRNA
UUGGCCCCGAAUCAAAGCCAAAAACUUGCUGUAGCUGCUGCUUUCAAACAGGAAGCUAAAGAGAAGUCUUUCCAUGAUCUAUUGGCCAUUUCAGAAUUUUGGAAAUGUAACAGUCAAUUCAUUGGAAAAAAGUAACA